rnacentral:rRNA from 1 species
UACGUAGGGUGCAAGCGUUGUCCGGAAUUAUUGGGCGUAAAGAGCUCGUAGGCGGUUUGUCGCGUCUGCCGUGAAAGUCCGGGGCUCAACUCCGGAUCUGCGGUGGGUACGGGCAGACUAGAGUGAUGUAGGGGAGACUGGAAUUCCUGGUGUAGCGGUGGAAUGCGCAGAUAUCAGGAGGAACACCGAUGGCGAAGGCAGCUCGCUGGGACGGUACUGACGCUGAGGCGCGAAAGCGUGGGGAGCAAACAGG